rnacentral:sRNA from 1 species
UUUGUGGCUAGGGAGGUACACCCGAAAAGCAGAAAAGCCUAUCUGUCUGCCACAAUUCUUAAAUAGGCG